GAUGAACGCUGGCGGCGUGCCUAAUACAUGCAAGUCGAGCGAACGGACGAGAAGCUUGCUUCUCUGAUGUUAGCGGCGGACGGGUGAGUAACGCGUGGAUAACCUACCUAUAAGACUGGGAUAACUUCGGGAAACCGGAGCUAAUACCGGAUAAUAUUUUGAACCGCAUGGUUCAAAAGUGAAAGACGGUCUUGCUGUCACUUAUAGAUGGAUCCGCGCUGCAUUAGCUAGUUGGUAAGGUAACGGCUUACCAAGGCAACGAUGCAUAGCCGACCUGAGAGGGUGAUCGGCCACACUGGAACUGAGACACGGUCCAGACUCCUACGGGAGGCAGCAGUAGGGAAUCUUCCGCAGUGGGCGAAAGCCUGACGGAGCAACGCCGCGUGAGUGAUGAAGGUCUUCGGAUCGUAAAACUCUGUUAUUAGGGAAGAACAUAUGUGUAAGUAACUGUGCACAUCUUGACGGUACCUAAUCAGAAAGCCACGGCUAACUACGUG
rnacentral:rRNA from 1 species